GACGAACGCUGGCGGCGUGCUUAACACAUGCAAGUCGAACGGGAAGGCCCUGCUUUUGUGGGGUGCUCGAGUGGCGAACGGGUGAGUAACACGUGAGUAACCUGCCCUUGACUUUGGGAUAACUUCAGGAAACUGGGGCUAAUACCGGAUAGGAGCUCCUGCUGCAUGGUGGGGGUUGGAAAGUUUCGGCGGUUGGGGAUGGACUCGCGGCUUAUCAGCUUGUUGGUGGGGUAGUGGCUUACCAAGGCUUUGACGGGUAGCCGGCCUGAGAGGGUGACCGGCCACAUUGGGACUGAGAUACGGCCCAGACUCCUACGGGAGGCAGCAGUGGGGAAGAUUGCACAAUGGGCGGAAGCCUGAUGCAGCAACGCCGCGUGCGGGAUGACGGCCUUCGGGUUGUAAACCGCUUUCGCCUGUGACGAAGCGUGAGUGACGGUAAUGGGUAAAGAAGCACCGGCUAACUACGUG
rnacentral:rRNA from 1 species